rnacentral:rRNA from 1 species
AGAGUUUGAUCCUGGCUCAGAACGAACGCUGGCGGCAGGCCUAACACAUGCAAGUCGAGCGAGACCUUCGGGUCUAGCGGCGGACGGGUUAGUAACGCGUGGGAACGUGCCCUUUACUACGGAAUAGUCCCGGGAAACUGGGUUUAAUACCGUAUACGCCCUUCGGGGGAAAGAUUUAUCGGUAAAGGAUCGGCCCGCGUUAGAUUAGAUAGUUGGUGGGGUAAUGGCCUACCAAGUCUACGAUCUAUAGCUGGUUUGAGAGGAUGAUCAGCAACACUGGGACUGAGACACGGCCCAGACUCCUACGGGAGGCAGCAGUGGGGAAUCUUGGACAAUGGGCGCAAGCCUGAUCCAGCCAUGCCGCGUGAGUGACGAAGGCCUUAGGGUCGUAAAGCUCUUUCGCCAGGGAUGAUAAUGACAGUACCUGGUAAAGAAACCCCGGCUAACUCCGUGCCAGCAGCCGCGGUAAUACGGAGGGGAGGAGCGCUGUUCGGAAUUACUGACGUAAAGCGCACGUAGGCGGACUGAAAAGUUGGGGGUGAAAUCCCGGGGCUCACCUCGGAACUGCUCCAAAACUACUAGUCUAGAGUUCGAGAGAAGUGAGUGGAAUUCCGAGUGUAGAGGUGAAAUUCGUAGAUAUUCGGAGGAACACCAGUGGCGAAGGCGGCUCACUGGCUCGAUACUGACGCUGAGGUGCGAAAGUGUGGGGAGCAACAGGGUUAGAUACCUGGUAGUCCACACCGUAAACGAUGAAUGCCAGUCGUCAGCAGCAUGCUUGUUGGUGACACACCUAACGGAUUAAGCAUUCCGCCUGGGGAGUACGGUCGCAAGAUUAAAACUCAAAGGAAUUGACGGGGGACCGCACAAGCGGUGGAGCAUGUGGAUUAAGUCGAAGCACGAGCAGAACCUUACCAACCCUUGACAUCCUGUGCUCACUCCAGAGAUGGAGUUUUCCCUUCGGGGACGCAGUGACAGGUGCUGCAUGGCUGUCGUCAGCUCGUGUCGUGAGAUGUUCGGUUAAGUCCGGCAACGAGCGCAACCCACAUCCUUAGUUGCCAUCAUUUAGUUGGGCACUCUAGGGAAACUGCCCGUGAUAAGCGGGAGGAAGGUGUGGAUGACGUCAAGUCCUCAUGGCCCUUACGGGUUGGGCUACACACGUGCUACAAUGGUAGUGACAAUGGGUUAAUCCCAAAAAGCUAUCUCAGUUCGGAUUGGGGUCUGCAACUCGACCCCAUGAAGUCGGAAUCGCUAGUAAUCGCGUAACAGCAUGACGCGGUGAAUACGUUCCCGGGCCUUGUACACACCGCCCGUCACACCAUGGGAGUUGGGUUUACCCGAAGGCGGUGCGCCAACCUUUUGGAGGCAGCCGACCACGGUAAGCUCAGCGACUGGGGUGAAGUCGUAACAAGGUAACC